CCCGUCGCCGCACCCAGCGGCUUCGUCAUUCGCGCGUAUCCACUGGCCUGCUUCUCCCCACAAACCGUCACGUCACACACGGGCUGCCCCACACCUCACACUCGGAGCAGUACGCAGGGCACGUAUGACAAGUCACGUCCCACAGCCACAAAAACUCACAGACGAGGGUCCGGUCCUAGGCCGCCUGACGAGGCCAAAGUUGAGGGGUCGAAAGGCCGGGCUGCAGGCAUAACUGGAGCCAAGUACCGAACUACACAUCCCAGAAGCCACUGCUGCCGGAGUCCAAUCACAGCCCGGAUCCGUCUUCCCAGCAUCCCUUGGGCGACCGGCCCUUUAGAAUGGGCGGGCCGUGGCUCCUUCGCCUCUGGACCAUAUUUCCCAGAAGGGACUGCGGGUCCCUGUGGGUCUGGCGCCUCCGGGUUCCUCAGGCUGGGCCGGAGACUGAGCUCCAGGCGUCCGGGGCGGGACCCAUGCGGCGUCUCUGCGCCAUCUUGCGUCAGAGCGAUUGUCGCGUGUGAGGGCGAGCGGGAGGCCCUUCCGGUCCGCAGCGCGGGAGCUCCUUGGCCAACACGGUACCGAGGGCAGUACGUGUAUGCAGGUUUUUCUAUUUCUAAGCUGAAUGUGAUCUCCUUCAAGGAGCAAGGAAAGGAAGCCUGGGUAGUAGAGAGUGAUGUCACACAAAGCCUGCACCCAGAUUGGGUAUCCCAAUGGGAGAAAAUGGAAAAAUUUAUAAACAAAGAUCCUGAGGACCCCAGCUUCCAAGAUGACUGGAAAUGUAAAGGCACAUUCAAGAGACAACAAAGAAAUAGGAAGGAAAUUCCAGUCAAGUCAUACUCACCCGUGAAGAAAUACCCACUUGGAGACAGCAAACAUCCCAUAACGUGCUUCAGAAAGUUCUAUCUGGAAGUAGGCCCUAUGUGUGUAUUGAAUUUACAAAAGGUUUUUGGCAGAAGAAAUCUCUUAAUCAUCAGAAAACUCAUACUAGUGAGGAAUAUUACAAAUGCAAGCAAUGUGGGAAGGACAUUCUGAUCUUCCUCAACAUCAAGGGAUUCAUACUGGGGAAAGACCCUGUGAAUGUAAAGAAUGUGGAAAGGGCUUUAGUUCUGUAUCACUCUUUACCCAACAACAGAGAAGUCAUGCUGGUGAGAAACUCUGUAAAUGUAGGGUUGUGGAAAAACCUUUAUUUGGCUCUCACAACUUAAUAUACAUCAUAGAACUCACAUUGGUGAAAAGACUUAUCAAUGUAUUGAAUGUAGAAAAGCUUUUAAAGGUCACUUAUCACUAAUUACUCAACAUCAAAGAAUUCAUGCUGGAGAAAAACCCUAUGAUGUAAGGAAUAUGGAAGGGCCUUUAGAGGUAUCACACGACUUAAGGAACAUUGAAGAAUCCAUACCAGUGAGAAGCCAUAUAAACGCAAUGAACAUGGAAAGGCCUUCAGUUGUCAUUCACAUCUUCCUCAACAUCAAAGAAAUCUUAUAAAUCUAAGGUUUGUGGGAAGGCCUUUAGACAGGGCUCACAGCUUAACCAUCAGCAGAGAAUUCAUACUGACUGGCCCUGAGCUAACAUCCGUGCCCAUCUUCCUCUACUUUAUAUGUGGGACACCUACCACAGCAUGGCUAGCCAAGCGGUGCCAUGUCCAUACCCAGGAUACAAACCGGUGAACCCUGAGCUGCCAAAGCAGAACGUGCGCACUUAACCACUGCACCACCGGGCCGGCCCCCCGCCAUAAGGCUCUUUUAAUCAGAAAAUUCAUAUUGAAGAAUGGAACUUGGACCACACCAGGUAAUCAAAGGAUGUGACUUAGGCUGGGCUCUGUAUCACAGUAUCAGCGUGACCUCCAGAGGGGCUGGAGACUGAGGAGAGCCACAUGAGGAACCCAUCAUGUCGACGUGACGGAGCCCAAUAAAGAAUGACACCAGGGGUCGGGGGCUUCCCUGGCAGGCGAUACUCUGUGCAUACUGUCACACAUGGCUGGGGAGGUGUUUAUGCUGUCCAUGACUCCAACACGGGAAUGGAAGCUCUGCAUCUAGAACCCUCCUGGACUCUGCCCCAUGCUGGCUGAUUGUAAUGUACAUCUUUUCACUGUAAUAAACCAUAACCACAAAUAUAAAAGUUUUUUGUGUGUGUGUACGAGGAAGAUUGGCCCUGAGCUAACAUCUGUGCUAAUCUUCCUCUAUUUUGUAUGUGGGAUGCCGCCAUAGCGUGGCUUGAUGAGCAGUGCUAGGUCCGUGCCCAGAAUCCAAACCUGCAAACCCCAGGCCACCAAAGCAGAGAGCAUGAACUUAACUACUAUGCUACCCAGCUGGCCCCAGUAUAAAAGUUUUUAGUAAGUUCUGUGAGUCCUUCUAGUGAGUUAUUGAACCUGAGGGUGAUCUUUG
rnacentral:lncRNA from 1 species